CAACGAUUAAGGUUCGCUAUAGACGCGAUUAAUAAGGGAAUGGGGUGAGAAUCCCCAACUGUCCCGCAGCUGUAAGUUCUUUUAUGCCGGCAAGCAAAAAGCCACUGCCUAUUUUGACGGGAAGGCGCUUGAAGGCGGAACAAAGUCAGAAGACCUGCCUUAUGAUU
rnacentral:ncRNA from 1 species